UACAAACUAAAAGCAACUAUAUAUAUAUAUUACAUUUCUAUCAGUCCUUUUAAGCCCCUCCCUUUAACUUUAGUCCAGGAAGAGCCUUUCAAGGCUGAUAUGCAACGCAGUCUCUCUCUUGAUGGGAAGAGCAC